rnacentral:rRNA from 1 species
AGCAGCCGCGGUAAUUCCAGCUCCAAUAGCGUAUAUUAAAGUUGUUGCAGUUAAAAAGCUCGUAGUUGAAUUUCGAGAUCAAAUUGUUGGUCGUGCCUUGGUACGCACUGGCAUUAUUGGUUUCUCCCUUCUGACGAACCAUGAUGUCAUUAAUUUGGUGUCUUGGGGAAUCAGGACUGUUACUUUGAAAAAAAUUAGAGUGUUUAAAGCAGGCUCACGCUUGAAUACAUUAGCAUGGAAUAAUGAAAUAGGACGUUUGAUUCUAUUUUGUUAGUUUCUAGGAUCGACGUAAUGAUUAAUAGGGAUAGUUGGGGGCAUUAGUAUUCAAUUGUCAGAGGUGAAAUUCUUGGAUUUAUUGAAGACUAACUACUGCGAAAGCAUUUGCCAAGGAUGUUUUCAUUAAUCAAGAACGAAGUUAGGGGAUCGAAGACGAUCAGAUACCGUCGUAGUCUUAACCAUAAACUAUGCCGACUAGGGAUCGGAUGAUGUUAAUUUUUAAUGA